CCUACGGGUGGCAGCAGUGGGGAAUAUUGCACAAUGGGGGAAACCCUGAUCCAGCGACGCCGCGUGAGUGAAGAAGUAUUUCGGUAUGUAAAGCUCUUUCAGCAGGGAAGAAACCCACCCUCCGGGGUGGCUGCCGGUACCUGACUAAGAAGCCCCGGCUAACUACGUGCCAGCAGCCGCGGUAAUACGUAGGGGGCAAGCGUUAUCCGGAUUUAUUGGGUUUAAAGGGUGCGUAGGCUGUUGGAUAAGUUAGAGGUCAAAUGUCGGGGCUUAACCCCGUGCCUGCCUCUGAUACUGUUCGACUAGAGAGCGGAUGCAGCAGGCGGAAUGAGUAGUGUAGCGGUGAAAUGCUUAGAUAUUACUCAGAACACCGAUUGCGCAGGCAGCUUGCUAAUCCGCAUCUGACGCUGAUGCACGAAAGCGUGGGUAGCGAACAGGAUUAGAUACCCUAGUAGUC
rnacentral:rRNA from 1 species